AAGCUCCGCAGUUUUAAUUGUUUGCUUGUGUUAAAUUUGUUAAUUGUUUAAAUUUAUUUUUAAAAGAAAAUUCGGUUUUAUAAAAUUUAAGCUUUAUCCAACAAUUAUACAAUUUCGAAGUGCUUUUAGUUAUAAAUCAUCAAUUUCAAGUCUCAGCACCCUUGGGAUUAAAAAAAGACAUCUUUUAAGAAAUGACGUUAAAAAAUAUAUUUACAAAAAGUAGAUUCAGUUUCAGUGUAAAGCAAGUGACCUUAAAUCUUUUCAAUAAAGUUCUCUCAUUGUUUUAACUGCAAACCACUUUUUGGUCAUGACACCUACAACCCUCCCUGGAUCCGCCAUUGUAAUUUUUUA